rnacentral:rRNA from 1 species
GACGAACGCUGGCGGCGUGCUUAACACAUGCAAGUCGAGCGGUAAGGCCCUUUCGGGGGUACACGAGCGGCGAACGGGUGAGUAACACGUGGGUGACCUGCCCUCAGCUCUGGGAUAAGCCUGGGAAACUGGGUCUAAUACCGGAUAUGACUCCAUGACGCAUGUUGUGGGGUGGAAAGCCUUGUGCGGCUGAGGAUGGGCCCGCGGCCUAUCAGCUUGUUGGGGGGUGAUGGCCUACCAAGGCGACGACGGGUAGCCGGCCUGAGAGGGCGACCGGCCACACUGGGACUGAGACACGGCCCAGACUCCUACGGGAGGCAGCAGUGGGGAAUCUUGCGCAAUGGGCGAAAGCCUGACGCAGCGACGCCGCGUGAGGGAUGACGGCC